UGGGGAAUUUUGGACAAUGGGCGAAAGCCUGAUCCAGCAAUGCCGCGUGUGUGAAGAAGGCCUUCGGGUUGUAAAGCACUUUUGUCCGGAAAGAAAUCCUUGGCUCUAAUACAGUCGGGGGAUGACGGUACCGGAAGAAUAAGCACCGGCUAACUACGUGCCAGCAGCCGCGGUAAUACGUAGGGUGCAAGCGUUAAUCGGAAUUACUGGGCGUAAGCGUGCGCAGGCGGUUUGCUAAGACCGAUGUGAAAUCCCCGGGCUCAACCUGGGAACUGCAUUGGUGACUGGCAGGCUAGAGUAUGGCAGAGGGGGGUAGAAUUCCACGUGUGAGCAGUGAAAUGCGUAGAGAUGUGGAGGAAUACCGAUGGCGAAGGCAGCCCCCUGGGCCAAUACUGACGCUCAUGCACGAAAGCGUGGGGAGCAAACAGGAUUAGAUACCCUGGUAGUCCACGCCCUAAACGAUGUCAACUAGUUG
rnacentral:rRNA from 1 species